rnacentral:rRNA from 1 species
GACGAACCGUGCGAACGUUGUUCGGAAUCACUGGGCUUAAAGGGCGCGUAGGCGGGGUGGCAAGUCUGUGGUGAAAUCCUCCGGCUCAACCGGAGAACUGCCGUGGAUACUGCCAUUCUCGAGGGGUGUAGGGGCAUGUGGAACUCAGGGUGGAGCGGUGAAAUGCGUAGAUAUCCUGAGGAACGCCGGUGGCGAAAGCGACGUGCUGGACACCUACUGACGCUGAGGCGCGAAAGCUAGGGGAGCAAACAGG